rnacentral:lncRNA from 1 species
GCAGCCCAGUCACGUAAGGCCCAACAGCAGGCCCAGAUCUGCUACACUUAUUUCAAAUUACUUCACAUGUGCCUAAAUAGUUCACAACAGAAUAACCAAUUCAUACAAGCCAGCUAAAGGCCCAAUUCAAAAUAAUGUAUUUUUCAAAUCACUAUUACUAGAUUAACACUCAAACACAUUAAUACUUCAAACCAGCUGGACUACGGAAUUGAAUCAAAUGAGACACAGACCUCUUUUAAACUUGUUUUUUUUUUACGAUCACCGGAAACAAAUUCAUGCUUAACAACACUCAUUUAAACUAACACUAACAAUUAACGAUUGGAAACUAACAUUAUUCACUACCACAUUACAGCAUACUAGACUAUUUAGAGUGUACAGUUAACCUGAAAGUCUAUGCUACUGAAUUCAGUGUUUAACUACCAAAUCUAUAAUCAAAUAAGGUGAGAUUACUGAUCCCAUAUAGUCCUCGCUAAGUACACAUUCCACAGCUUCAAAUUUCAUCGAGUGUUAAUCAGCUCAAAACAUACUUCAACUAUCAUUUAUAAUGGAAUAACAACAGACGCCUCAUCCAGCGAGCAACUGCCCAAACAUUUUAUUUCAUGCUUAAUCUCGGAGUUACAUCAUCAAUGAGUUCAUGUGUGUACCUGAAUAUUGGACAGAAAUGAGAGUAGAAAUGGUCAGUUACAGCAACAGUCAAGCAGCAGCAACAAUAUUCGAUUUCCAGCAGUAGAACGACGAUCCAGUCCAAACAAUAAACCCAGAAAUCCAGAAAUUUCAAAAAUCCAUGCAGGAAUAACAACACGAACCCAACAGCAACUUGAACAACCCACAAUCACUCGUAAACAAACCACACAAGGUACUUUUGAGACCCUUUCAACCAAACAACAACAGAGACGAACUCAAAUUCAAAAUGCACUCAGCUUCUAUCUAUCAGCUAUCAAUUGUGGAAUCAGAAUAUCGACAUUAAUUAGACCAACUUGAGAUUGAAUCAAAGUGAUCAAUGGAACAAUAACACUUUUUUUUUUUGGAUUUUUGAGUUUUGUUCUAUUUUUUUUUUUGAUUUUUUUUGAAAUUUGAAUUCCUAUUUAAGAUCUGGAACAAAAAAACUAAUGAGAGGGGCUUGUUUUUUCAGUUCAAAGAUGACUGGAAAUCAAAAGAAGAACCCCUAACAAAACAAUUGUGAUCCCUUUAAUAGACAACCCAGGUGAAUGGUCAGAUUUUUGCUUUUAUUUCAAGUCUCUAUUUAAUUUCAACUUCAAUCCCCUACUUCUUGCCCUGUGACUCAAGUCAACCCUCUAUGUUAACUGAAAUAUGCCUUAACACCUACACCUAGAAGCUUCUAGGAAAUUCUAGCUAAAUUCCCUACCCCAAAUUACCCCAAUUGCCCUUAAUUUAACCCAAAAUUACUAAACAGAACAGCUAUAUCCAAAAGAGUCCUAGGGUCUGAACUUUCAACUAAAAAAAAUAUAAUCCUAUCUACUGGGAUGAAUUAACAGCAAAUAUUAAGAAUAAAUUAAGAAUUAACAGCAAAUAUUAAGCAAAUUAACAUUCAAACAAAUAUGUAAUCAAACAGAAUUACAACUAAAAUUAAGAAUCAUUAUUCAAACGGCCAAACUGAGACAAACCUAAUGAAUAACUAAUUAAUCACCUAAAAUUAGUAUGAAUCAAGCAGAUAGGGAUCAACAAGAAAGAUGAAAAAGAAAAGUUAUUAAUCCCAGACUAAACAUUGUUACCAAACAAAUUAAGAAGCUAUAUAAUCCUAGGAAAUCAGUGAAUAUCAACAGAGGAAAAUCAAAAAUAAGAAAAUGCACUCGAAAACUUACUGAUUCAUUUCAAAACUCCAAUUAAAUUUCCAAGUUUGAACACGACCAGCUCCGGCGGGAACAAAGCUCGAUUGAUGACCUAUUCAUUACGAGGAAGGCCCAGAGACUCUAUGGCGUCACUUGCAUGCGUUUGGGCAUUUUAGGGUUUGGCCGGAAAGUCUUCGAGUUCAAAUUCGAGCAAAUCGGGCAAUAUUUGAGGGACACAAUUAUGGGGGUUGGAUAGAGGAAGAUUAGGCGGUUCUAUGGUGUUAUUUUGGGGUCAUUUGGGGUAACCGGCGUCGUGGCCGGAAAACUUUGGACGAAUAUUCGAAGAGCUGGGCUGGGUUUUGAAGGGAGCUGUUUGUAGAUUUGAGAUGAGGGAGAAGAGAGGAUCACGGGGUGUUAAUUUGGGCGUGAAUGGUGACGGCGACGUUCACCGGCGGCGGCUCCGCCGGUGGUGCUACAGAGAGAUACGAGGAAGAUGAAUACGGUCGUUUAGGGCUAUACGUAUAUUAGGACAGUUUUAUUAUAAACCCAAGAGCCAAUUGUGGCCGUUAGAUCAAGGAGAAUUGACAGCCAAGAUUAGAUGGUGAGAGGACG